AUUAAACGCUGGCGGCAUGCCUUACACAUGCAAGUCGAACGGCAGCACGGGGUGGUAACACUCUGGUGGCGAGUGGCGGACGGGUGAGUAAAGCAUCGGAACGUGCCCUGGAAUGGGGGAUAACGUAGCGAAAGUUACGCUAAUACCGCAUAUUCUGUGCGCAGGAAAGCAGGGGCUCGCAAGACCUUGCGUUCUGGGAUCGGCCGAUGUCGGAUUAGCUAGUUGGUGGGGUAAAGGCCUACCAAGGCGACGAUCCGUAGCGGGUCUGAGAGGAUGAUCCGCCACACUGGGACUGAGACACGGCCCAGACUCCUACGGGAGGCAGCAGUGGGGAAUUUUGGACAAUGGGCGCAAGCCUGAUCCAGCCAUGCCGCGUGAGUGAAGAAGGCCUUCGGGUUGUAAAGCUCUUUCGGUGGGGAAGAAAUUGCACGGGCGAAUACCCUGUGUAGAUGACGGUACCUGAAGAAGAAGCACCGGCUAACUACGUG
rnacentral:rRNA from 1 species